rnacentral:rRNA from 1 species
UACGUAGGUGGCAAGCGUUGUCCGGAAUUAUUGGGCGUAAAGCGCGCGCAGGCGGUCCUUUAAGUCUGAUGUGAAAGCCCACGGCUCAACCGUGGAGGGUCAUUGGAAACUGGGGGACUUGAGUGCAGGAGAGAAGAGUGGAAUUCCACGUGUAGCGGUGAAAUGCGUAGAGAUGUGGAGGAACACCUGAGGCGAAGGCGGCUUGCUGGGCCUGAUCUGACGCUGAGGCGCGAAAGCGUGGGGAGCAAACAGG